UGUUUUUGUCGCAGGAUUGAUUUGGGUUUUUUUCGGUCGCAGGAUUGAUUUGGUAGCCAUGGCCAUUGCCGCAGCAGCAACAGCGACAGUGACAAUGGCGCUGGCGAGGCCAACGUCGAAUGUCUUGCUGACAAGUCACAGGGCUAGGUGGGUCUUCACUCCAUUUGCUGUUUCUUCUUCCUUUACUUCGUCUUCUUCUUCUUCAAAGCCUUCAAGAGCCCUCAUUCUCUACUCCAAGCCCGGGUGCUGUUUGUGCGAUGGCCUCAAAGAAAAACUUCAGGCUGCCUUCUUACUCGCUGGCCCUGAUUCUCUUCACGACGUUGAUUUACAGAUAAGGGAUAUUACGAGUAAUCCAGAGUGGGAAAGAGCUUACCAGUAUGAGAUACCAGUGUUGGCAAGAGUGCUUUCUGAUGGCACUGAGCAAUUACUUUGCUUUAGAUGGUGGAUUGACAAUCAAAUAAACAGCCAACGCAAUUAUUGAUGGGAUUGUCUCUAUGAGGUGGCCUAUCAUGCUUGAAGCAUCUCAAGUUUUCUUACCCUUACUGUUUCCUUUUAGCAAUGCUGAGAAUUUGUGUAUAUGGAAACUCUACCUAGAUUAUCUCCUCGUCUCGGAGUGGAACUGGUUCAGAAGAAAAUAGCUGCUGCCUUAAAACAUUAGUGGGUUUUGGACCCGGUGUAGAAGUGAAGUUUUGUCAUUGGCUAUUUGGCAUAUAUCUUGAAUUAUAAAGGAAUUUGUAGUUCACAUCAACUUUGUAGCCAACUUAUAGUGAAUGGCCAGACAAAUUUUCUUUUGACCCUUCUUUCUUGA